UUUNNNUGUACGGAAGUCGCUAGAGAUAGCUUCGUGCUCGAAAGAGAGCCGUAACACAGGUGCUGCAUGGCUGUCGUCAGCUCGUGUCGUGAGAUGUUGGGUUAAGUCCCGCAACGAGCGCAACCCUUGCCAUUAGUUGCUACAUUUAGUUGAGCACUCUAAUGGGACUGCCGGUGACAAACCGGAGGAAGGUGGGGAUGACGUCAAGUCCUCAUGGCCCUUAUAGGUGGGGCUACACACGUCAUACAAUGGCUGGUACAAAGGGUUGCCAACCCGCGAGGGGGAGCUAAUCCCAUAAAGCCNGUCGUAGUCCGGAUCGCANUCUGCAACUCGACUGCGUGAAGUCGGAAUCGCUAGUAAUCGUGGAUCANAAUGUCACGGUGAAUACNUUCCCNGG
rnacentral:rRNA from 1 species